GCCUACGGGGGGCAGCAGUAGGGAAUCUUCCACAAUGGGCGAAAGCCUGAUGGAGCAACGCCGCGUGGGUGAAGAAGGUCUUCUGAUCGUAAAACCCUGUUGUUAGAGAAGAAAGUGCGUGAGAGUAACUGUUCACGUUUCGACGGUAUCUAACCAGAAAGCCACGGCUAACUACGUGCCAUCAGCCGCGGUAAUACGUAGGUGGCAAGCGUUAUCCGGAUUUAUUGGGCGUAAAGGGAACGCAGGCGGUCUUUUAAGUCUGAUGUGAAAGCCUUCGGCUUAACCGGAGUAGUGCAUUGGAAACU
rnacentral:rRNA from 1 species